rnacentral:lncRNA from 1 species
CCCUUACUGCGCCGCGUCUGUUUCCCGGAAAAACUACUUGGAGCUGAUUGAAUUGUGCUAUCCGUCCUUUGAGGUCCCCUCCGAACGCCAAGAGAGCCUAGCCACGAAAACCCGUUCGAUGGUACCGAACUAGUAUUAUAUGGCCUGUAUCUCUCUCCCAACAUCCGGCUGGAACAAACCCCCCAGAACUUCCUGCGAAGUUGACCCCUCCAUCACCUCAUCCGAUCGAUUUCAUCCACCUCUCGCCUCCUACCUCCGCACCACCUGAAGUACAUUCUAAGCCCUGGCCCCCAAACCUUUGACGGAGAGGGGGGUCGAUAGUCCACUUCUUAAGCAAUAGUCCGGUGGGGGAGAAACGGCUAACCCGCACCUUAUAUUGACAUAGGCUAGCAUAUGGAGUAACCCUCGUUGAACCAAGGCCCCCCGACCCGCUUUGGCUGAUCGGGGGGUUCCGGGAGCAAAUUCUGGUGGGCGAGUACAGUGGAUCCUAGAUCGAUCGAACAAGGUAACUUCGAAAACAAACUCCCGAAUCUUUCCCAAACAGCUCUUCCAUAGUUUUUCCAGUCCGCAGCAACGACUCAGGUUUGGAUGGGCGAAAUCACGACGGCAGCCACAAAAAAAUGGAUCUCCGACAUCACACAACCCGACACACCUAAGUUUCGCGAGGCUCGGCCCCUCUUCCCCUUCGGAUGUCCCCUUCGGUACACCACCACAUCAUGCCAUCCAGUCUGGAGCGUCGCCGACUCCCGUUGGCCAAGGUAGGGCCAACACAAGAGUAGCGGACGAACCAGUCAUCUGGUCUUACCGGAGAAAGGGAGAGGUAGACUGCCACCACCAAACCCCACCCAAGCACACACCAGGCAGCAAAAAGCCAUCAUCCUAAAAGAUGGUCCCACUUCACAAGACGAGGAGGUUCCCCGUCCUUCAUUCCAACCCCAGGUGAGAACACACACACCCUUCUUUGCGAUGGAUAAAAGGCAAAAAGAGAGGGCAAAAAAGCCAACGGCAAAUUCCAACCAGACCCCCAGAGGCACACACCACAAAAAGUGAAGCCAGAGAGAGCCAGACAAAGAGAAGGAUAGAGAGAGAGGGAGAGUUAGACCCCCCCGGAAGAGAAUCAUAGGUGCUGCGGCCUUUUUCGGGAAUGUGACCAGGAAAGAGAGAAACCGACGAGGCCGAUACACACAUUAAAAAAUGAAAAAGUAACCAUCACCGCGAAGGAUUUUCCUCAAAAGACAAAUCAGCAAGAAGUAUGUCCAAUCCCGGGGGCCCAUCGCCCCUCCAAAUUAAUGGAGGGGUCGGAUAGAAAUUUAUAGAAAUGUUACUUUUGUGAAACCCCUAGCCGACGAGAGAACUCUCACCGGUUUCGAAGUUCCAUUUUCACAUUCCGACCUGGGAUGUUAUGACUCCUCGGCCCACACUGCGAACGCGUCCCACACCCCCUCCAAGUUUAUCAGGAAUUUCACCUGAGCUUGCAAUAGAGAUCGAGCGCGGUGGCGGUCACAGUGGUGGUCGACCAGGCGGAGCUUGAACGGCCUCGGCAAACACUUCUCCCCACCCUCCCAAAUGAAUGAGAGAAUGGCUUGACAAUACCGAGGCCAUCGCCCCCCGCCAAAAAUGGUUACUAGCUCUUGGGACUCGCUGCGACGUUACGCGUAUCGGCACAAGACCAACCCUCUUUUUCCAGUCGCCCGCGCACCAAAAAAAAUUUUGGCAGCGGGACUCACAAUCCUUGACAGCCAGCUCACCAUAUAAUACUCGGCGACCCUCCGCGGGACCUCCUCAGAGGGUCGCGUCGCCGGGAAACUACCCCCACUCCUCACUGAUCCAAGGUAACACGCCAGAAGUAUCCAGGUAACCCCAGUAGUAUCCAGGUAUCCCCCCUGCGAACGUCGGUACUGGGCUCAAAGAAGGCAGCGAGCAGUCGGGACCCGUAGGCACCGAGCAACCGUCACCCCCUCACGACUUUUCCCGAGACGCUUCAGAGGAACCCUUCCCCCACAUAGUACUCUCUGUGGGAUUCGGCAGGCCCCCCCGUCCUACUGCACUAAGGAAGUUCCGAGACACACUUUUUUUUGUGGAAGACCACCCACCCUCCCUGUCCUGCCUGCUAUCCCCGCCGCGACUCCUGGUCCCGGCCCUCCUCCCCGACUUCCUCCUUGUCCCGCUGCGAGUCCCGGACCUCCUCCCCCACUACCUACUCCCGCCGCGAGUCCCAGUCCCGGCCUUCCUCCUCCUCCUCCUCUUCCUUGUCCCGCCGCGACUCCCUAGUCCCGUGGCGAGUCCCGGACUUCCUCCUCCUCUUCCUUGUCCUCCCCCUCUUCCUAGUCCCGGCGCGAGUCCCGGACCUCCUCCUUCUCUUCCUUGUCCCGCCGCGAGUCCCAGUCCCGUCGCGAGUCCCGGACUUCCUCCUUCUCUUCGGACUUCCUCCUCCUCUUCCUUGUCCCGCCGCGACUCCCUAGUCCCGGCGCGAGUCCUAGUCCCGGCGCGAGUCCUAGUC